rnacentral:rRNA from 1 species
AGCAGUUCGGCUGGGCACUCUAAAGGGACUGCCGGUGUUAAACCGGAGGAAGGUGGGGAUGACGUCAAGUCCUCAUGGCCUUUAUGACCAGGGCUACACACGUACUACAAUGGCCGAUACAAAGGGCAGCGACACUGGCGAGGUGAAGCCAAAUCCCGUAAAAUCGGUCUCAGUCCGGAUUGGAGUCUGUAACUCGACUCCAUGAAGUUGGAAUCGCUAGUAAUCGUGGAUCAGCAUGCCACGGUGAAUACGUUCCCGGGCCUU